rnacentral:rRNA from 1 species
UACAGAGGUCUCAAGCGUUGUUCGGAUUCAUUGGGCGUAAAGGGUGCGUAGGUGGCGGGGUAAGUCAGGUGUGAAAUCUCGGAGCCCAACUCCGAAACUGCACUUGAUACUGCCUUGCUGGAGUACUGGAGAGGAGAUUGGAAUUUACGGUGUAGCAGUGAAAUGCGUAGAUAUCGUAAGGAAGACCAGUGGCGAAGGCGAAUCUCUGGACAGUUACUGACACUGAGGCACGAAGGCCAGGGGAGCAAACGGG